rnacentral:lncRNA from 1 species
AUGGAAUCCGGCAUUGGCAAAGCAUCUUCCACUCCUCCCUUCGAUAAGCUUCCUUUUUUGGGCACUGGACCUAGUUACCGCUCCAUGGGAACAUCUAUAGAUUCCGCUAUCGGGAAAGUAAGGCAUGGAAUCACGCUAAGCUUGGGACUUAGCUUGGCACCAGGGCGGCUUGCUCAUCGUGCUUAUGGCUUGGCCAAUUGA